GAUGAACGCUGGCGGCGUGCCUAAUACAUGCAAGUCGAGCGAAUGGAUUAAGAGCUUGCUCUUAUGAAGUUAGCGGCGGACGGGCGAGUAACACGUGGGUAACCUGCCCAUAAGACUGGGAUAACUCCGGGAAACCGGGGCUAAUACCGGAUAACAUUUUGAACCGCAUGGUUCGAAAUUGAAAGGCGGAUUCGGCUGUCGCUUAUGGAUGGACCCGCGUCGCAUUAGCUAGUUGGUGAGGUAACGGCUCACCAAGGCAACGAUGCCGUAGCCGACCUAAGAGGGUGAUCGGCCACACUGGGACUGAGACACGGCCCAGACUCCUACGGGAGGCAGCAGUAGGGAAUCUUCCGCAAUGGACGAAAGUCUGACGGAGCAACGCCGCGUGAGUGAUGAAGGCUUUCGGGUCGUAAAACUCUGUUGUUAGGGAAGAACAUGUGCUAGUUGAAUAAGCUGGCACCUUGACGGUACCUAACCAGAAAGCCACGGCUAACUACGUGCCAGCAGCCGCCGUAA
rnacentral:rRNA from 1 species